ACGACCAGGUGGCUUAGCCCAAGGGAGUAAGGUCAGGGGUGUAGAGAAAGGGGACAAGGAUAAAGAGAUAUAGCCAGAUUGGUAGACAAAGUGGGUAAGGCCAUGAGGUUAAGACCAGCUGAGUAAGUUCAGGUGACUCAUGCAAGGUAUCUUAAGUCCAAGGGUUGGGGAGCAAUGGGAAAUCCAGAGAAUAGAAGCAGGGGGAUAUGUCCAGAGAAGUACACCUAGGGAGGUAAAUCCAUUGAUUUAAGUCCCAGUAGAUGAAACCAGAAGGCCAAGGACAAUUGUGUUAACCAAGUGUGAAGGCCAUGUGGGUCAUGUGUGGUUGGUAAGACUAGGU